rnacentral:rRNA from 1 species
GCCCGGUGAAAAUAUUAAACGGCCGCAGUACUCUGACUGUGCUAAGGUAGCAUAAUAAGUUGACUUUUAAUUGAAGUCUGGAAUAAACGGGGUAACGGAGAAAACCUGUCUCAGAAUAAAAACUUUUAAAUUAAUAAAAAGGUGAAAAUACCUUUAUUUUGAAAAAAGACGAGAAGACCCUAAGAAUUUUAAGAAAAAUUUCAUGAUCUUUUUACUGGGGCGGUGAAGAAUCAAUUAAAAACAUUCUCUAUUUUGUUUAUUGUAUCAAAUAUUAUUUUAAAAAUUUAAAUUACCUUAGGGAUAACAGCAUAAUUUAUUUUUAAGUUUGUGACCUCGAUGUUGGACUAGGAAAUUUUAAGAUUAGCCAUCAUAAAA